UCUAGUUAGAUUGGUCAUAAUUAAAGUGUAUUUAUUGCAUGUUUGUAGUUUUUGUGUGUUAUAUGAUGUGUUUAAAAGUUGUUUUUUGUGUAUUCUCCAGGAACUCAUUUGUUGGCGGAAGGAUUAAAGAUGUACCACCCACCAGCAGUCAGGAGUUUUCAAAGUGGUGAAUUUAAACUGUGUUACAACACAGUGAAGAUUUCUGAAAAAAGUAGAUGGCUAACCUAUUAUAUUUUGGGCCUCAUUUGACUUAAAUAGUGUUGAUGUUUAAAGUUGAAGACAGUAUAUAAUUCAUCAAGAACAGUGGAAUCCAGAAUUAAGCCUCAAAUGUGACUGAUUUACUAUAGAACAAAGAACACGAAAAUUCACCAGGCCGUCACCAAGAGGAGAAAUUUGAAAAAAUGGGAACUGGUUGAUGGAUAUGGAUGAAACUUUGCAUUAGUGUUGUGUUUAUGCAUAGAAAUCAGGAAAAUAAAGGAUAACUGACAGACCAUGCAGUUACCAAAGCCGGGGUUUGAGUACAGCCUACCUUACCUUAUACUGGUUAAGAUCUAUGGAAGAACUCUUUCAGCUCAGUUUGGCAGCAGAUUUGUCAGGACAAGUUGAGAAGGAACUCAUUUGUUGGCGGAAGGAUUAAAGAUGUACCACCCACCAGCAGUCAGGAGUUUUCAAAGUGGUGAAUUUAAACUGUGUUACAACACAGUGAAGAUUUCUGAAAAAAGUAGAUGGCUAACCUAUUAUAUUUUGGGCCUCAUUUGACUUAAAUAGUGUUGAUGUUUAAAGUUGAAAACAGUAUAUAAUUCAUCAAGAACAGUGGAAUCCAGAAUUAAGCCUCAAAUGUGACUGAUUUACUAUAGAACAAAGAACACGAAAUUUCACCAGGCCGUCACC